UGCUUUUUGCAAAUAUAAAAAGUAUUACCUGCCCAAUGAUUAAUUUAAUGGCUGCAGUAUAUUGACUGUACAAAGGUAGCAUAAUUAUUUGCUUUAUAAAUUAAAGCUUGUAUGAAUGGUAUAAUGUAAAUAUAACUGUCUUUUAUUUAUAAUUAAAAUUUGCUUUUUCAGUGAAGAAGCUGAAAAUUUUUAGAAAGACGAGAAGACCCUAAUGAGUUUUAUAUAUAAUUAUAUAUUAUUAUAAUUAUAUAUUUUGUUGGGGUAAUAAAAGAAAAAAUCUUCUUUUUUAUUAAAAAAAUAAUAUUUAUUGAUCCAUUAAUAAUGAAUGAAAGUUUAAAUUACCAUAGGGAUAACAGCAUAAUUCUUUUUAAGAGUACAUAUCGACAAAAGAGAUUGUGACCUCGAUGUUGAAUUAAGAAAAUUAUAUAAUGCAGAAAUUAUAUAAAUAAGUCUGUUCGACUUUUAAAUUCUUACA
rnacentral:rRNA from 1 species